GCUUGGCUGGCUCAGUUGGUUAAACAUCCGACUUCAACUCAGGUCAUGAUCUCACAGUUCGUGGGUUCAAGCCCCAUGUCAGGCU
rnacentral:tRNA from 1 species